rnacentral:lncRNA from 1 species
GGGUAUUGGGGGGGGUGUUGGGGCGCUGGCAUCUUGUUCACUCCAUGCUAACCAGUCCCUGCAGAAGGCCCUCUUCCUUGGGAGGCGUCCUGACUUAAACAGCAUGCUCACCCUGUCUCCGGCUCUGUCCUCACUGAGCUUAAGGACCUGGAUUCAGAACUCCACCAGAAGAUUAGGGGAGAGGCCACAGCCCUUCCCUACUAGAGUUUUCAGAGUUAGGAACGACCUGGCCCAGGCUGCAGCUAGUAGGCUGGUUUGUUGGGCAGUAAUUUGCAGGGUGGUGGGGACUGGGCUGGUAAUGGGAACCUGGUCCCUCCUGUUGGCUUUCAUGAAGCUCUGGGCUGGGGCUUUAAAAACUGCCGUCCAAAGAUGAGGCUUGAGCACCUGCAGUUAGGCCAGGACUAACCUUCCUCUCUGUACUGAGGAGCAGGUCUGCCCUCAGGGACAUCUCUGGUUGGUAGGCAGCCUUACUGGUCUUUCCUUGGAUGACAGAUAGGAAAAAGGGGUCUAUAGCAUCAGCUGGGAACAGGCUUGGACCUGA